rnacentral:tRNA from 1 species
GGGGUUGUGGCUCAGUGGUAGAGUGCUUACCUAGUGUGAAUGAGGCACUAGGUUCGAUCCUCAACACCA